UAAAAGCGACUUAAGGGCGUAUGGCGGAUGCCUUGGCUCUCAGAGGCGAUGAAGGACGUGAUAAGCUGCGAUAAGCUUCGGGGAGGUGCAAAUAACCUUCGAUCCGAAGAUUUCCGAAUGGGUAAACCCAGUACAGUGAAGCUGUAUUAUUCCGAUUUAUCGGAAGGCUAACCCGGUGAACUGAAACAUCUAAGUAACCGGAGGAAGAGAAAACAAUAGUGAUUCCCUCAGUAGCGGCGAGCGAAAUGGGAACAGCCCAAACCAAAGUUGUUUCGGCAAUUUUGGGGUUGUAGGACUGC
rnacentral:rRNA from 1 species